GCUCCGUGCGGACAGCCUCGACGAUCUCCUGGUUGCGAUCCGGGUCGGUACGGUGCGCGGUUCUGUUCCGCGCGUGAAGCA
rnacentral:tRNA from 1 species